GGUGCUGUAGUGUAGUGGUUAUCACUCGGGAUUUUGACAUUGUUAAACUUCCCGAAACCCAGGUUCGAACCCUGGCAGGACCU